CGGGCGUCUUAACAUGCAAGUCGAACGAUUAAAGCACCUUCGGGUGUGUAUAAAGUGGCGAACGGCUGAGUAACACGUGAGCAACCUGCCCCUCUCAUUGGGAUAGCCACGGGAAACCGUGGAUAAUACCGAAUACUUCGAGACUUCCGCAUGAAAGACUCGAGAAAGCUCCGGCGGAGAGGGAUGGGCCCGCGGCCUGUUAGCUUGUUGGUGGGGUAACGGCCUACCAAGGCAAUGAUGGGUAGCUGGGUUGAGAGACCGACCAGCCAGAUUGGGACUGAGACACGGCCCAGACUCCUACGGGAGGCAGCAGUGGGGAAUCUUGCACAAUGGGCGAAAGCCUGAUGCAGCGACGCCGCGUGCGGGAUGAAGGCCUUCGGGUUGUAAACCGCUUUCAGCAGGGACGAGGCGAAAGUGACGGUACCUGCAGAAGAAGCCCCGGCUAAUAC
rnacentral:rRNA from 2 species